CCCCUAUAAAAAUACAGUUGGGUUUACUAAAUGUAUUUGAGUUUGGUUUAAUGUUAAACAGUUAUUUUUUUUGUGUAAAUUCAUGAAGAGUAUGGUUGUAGUUGCUUGGUGUGGCCACAAGGCGGCGCUUCAUGUGUGUUCAAUGAAGGAAAUCUAGUCAUGGCAUUGCAUGCUGGGAAAUAGUCAAGCUAGAAUGGUCUGAUACUGAUGCUACUAAGAAAUGUUACAGAGCAAGGUUUUUGAUGCUAUCUGAGAGAGUACAGUUUUAAUUUCACAAUACAAGUCUGUAUGUGUUUUUGAGUUUUUUCAUGAAAGACUGUCGAACGGCUGUGACCGGAGCAACCGAUUUGUUUUUUUUUUUUCAACAAAAGAACUCCGAUUGUUUUUUUUUAUAUGCCGAGAGCUGGAUCUACAUCGAGUUAACAACAGCGGUGAUUUCAACCGGGUUUUCCGUCCGAGGCGUGGCGGAAUUGGAGAGGAUGCCAAAUCCUCCAUCUUCAUCGUCUUCGUGGAAGAUUCGCACCUGGAGGAGAAUAGCCUGAACAGCGCGCAGUGACCAUACAUUACACAAACAUACUACCCGGGUAGCAUAGCAUAUACAUACACUGACUAAACUUGGACUGACACGGAUUAAAACUGAACUUUGGACUGGACUUUUUGAACUUUGAUAUCAGAACAGCCACAAGCUGUCAGAGGGACAAUUUAUUCUAUAUUUGAUAUUAUUUUUCUAUUAUUAAUUCCAUUGGGAAUUCUGAAUCUAAACUGAUUUCACUUUUUGUUGAUUGUGGGAAUAAACAUUUGUGUUUACUUCAUA